AGUCACGCAUCAGUGGAGGUUUCGCUGUCUGGUGGAGACCCCAGCUGGUGAUCUGGUAAGGGUUAAGCGCCAGAGUCAGAACAAGUUUGCUGUCUGUACCUUGGACAAGGGGACCUUUUCCUGGGUUGAGACCGAUAACAUUGGGGAUCUUGCACUGUUUGUGAGCCACUACAACUCGUUCUGUUUCCCGGCCAAGGACCACCCUAACCUGAAAGCAAACUGCAUCUACUUCAUCGACAUCCACAACAGCCUGUGCGCGUUCAACCUUGAGCAUAGUACAAAGGAGCUUGUCGAAACCCUUGAAAUUGGCCCAGGCCGCAAUGACCACUACUACCGGCGGCCCCAGCGAGACCAGCUCUUGUGGUUCAUCCCUUCACUUAAGUAAUAUAGCCAAUGGACGUUUUUCCCAAGAUGGAGCUCGUAUGGUAUAGUAGGCUCCUAUGGCUCAGAAUUCCGAAGUAUUGGACAACCUGCUAUGCGUAGUACUAGUUUAUAUGUCUAUGAACUUCUAAGUAUUGGACAUAAUUGUGGUAGUCUGUUGCUAAAUCAACUGUGUUAAUUGUGGUACAGUUGAGUUGUGGGCAGAGCCGCCCCGUGCAUGGCCAGAUGAGGAAGUCACGCAUCAGUGGAGGUUUCGCUGUCUGGUGGAGACCCCAGCUGGUGAUCUGGUAAGGGUUAAGCGCCAGAGUCAGAACAAGUUUGCUGUCUGUACCUUGGACAAGGGGACCUUUUCCUGGGUUGAGACCGAUAACAUUGGGGAUCUUGCACUGUUUGUGAGCCACUACAACUCGUUCUGUUUCCCGGCCAAGGACCACCCUAACCUGAAAGCAAACUGCAUCUACUUCAUCGACAUCCACAACAGCCUGUGCGCGUUCAACCUUGAGCAUAGUACAAAGGAGCUUGUCGAAACCCUUGAAAUUGGCCCAGGCCGCAAUGACCACUACUACCGGCGGCCCCAGCGAGACCAGCUCUUGUGGU
rnacentral:lncRNA from 1 species